UCGCCCGAUUGUUGGAGUCCGAGAUUGAGUUCUAAAGAGGAGAGUUUGAUGAAAAGAAGAGUGUGAUCAUCAGCAUAGCGGUGGUAUCGGACAUGGAAGACUUGCUACUACAUCUUCUGGCAUUAAAGUAUCAAUCGGCAGCAAUGAAGAUUUACUAAAACCUGCACCAACAGAAGCAGCUUUGCUGUUAAUACUAAAGAAUUUUUUUGAGGUCAUUCUGCAUCUCCAUGUAGUGAAUAGGUGAUUCUUGGAGGUGGUGAGGAUGUAUCAGUUGUUACAGCUUCUGAUCAAAGUGUUGGAAGCUACCUUAUCGGCUGUGACAACGAACUUGCAAAAUUACAUACUAGACAUCCCUAGGCUUGCGACAAAGUUGGUGGCGUGAUCAUUAUGCAUAUAGACAAUCUCCAAAAAUUCGCGAUGCUAUGGCUGCAUAAAAUUGAGGAGGUUCGAGCUGAUAGAGCUCAUUAUGCAAGAAAUAUAACACGAGACAUAUAUGAGACCGGGUGGAUCAGUGAGAUGUAUGGUUACUCAUUUGGUGCGGUCGAGUUGAAACUAAAGCACACUAUAAGCAGUGAGAUAUUGAUAUACCCGGGAUAUGUUCCUGCGCUGAACGUCAAAUAUCGAGUUUGUCAUUAUGGAUUGCAAUUCAGUUAGUUGUCCACAUGGUCUAUUGAUGCCUGAGCAAGCUCCUGGUGCUAAACGGAUCCUUAUUCCUGAGACUUUUUGGCUCUUCUUAUGUGAAGAUGCUAUUUCUGUAAAACGUGAUGAUGCUUUAGGUGGCCUGAUUCUUCCUUGAGGUUCUACAGAGUGUUCCCAAUGCAUUAAUGAAUUAUCUGAAGCAGCAUGCUUGGAGGAUUCUUAGAGGUUAUUUCAUUUGUAAUUGACAUUACAAAUAGUGACAAAUAAUUACCUGAAAUGAUGCUGUGUGCUGAAAGAAUGCUCAUGUUACGAAACUCUUAACUCGG